UACGAAGGGUGCAAGCGAUACUCGGACUUACUGGGCGUAAAGCGUGCGUAGGUGGUUUGUUAAGUCCGAUGUGAAAGCCCUGGGCUCAACCUGGGAAUGGCAUUGGAAACUGGCGGGCUAGAGUGCGGUAGAGGGUAGUGGAAUUCCCGGUGUAGCAGUGAAAUGCGUAGAGCUCGGGAGGAACACCAGUGGCGAAGGCGGCUACCUGGACCAGCACUGACACUGAGGCACGAAAGCGUGGGGAGCAAACAGG
rnacentral:rRNA from 1 species